rnacentral:rRNA from 1 species
UACGUAGGUGGCAAGCGUUGUCCGGAUUUACUGGGCGUAAAGAGCGCGCAGGCGGUCGUUCAAGUCGCGUGUGAAAGCCCCCGGCUCAACUGGGGAGGGUCACGCGAUACUGAUCGACUGGAAGGCAGGAGAGGGUAGUGGAAUUCCCGGUGUAGUGGUGAAAUGCGUAGAUAUCGGGAGGAACACCUGCGGCGAAGGCGGGUUGCUGGGCUGAUACUGACGCUGAUGCGCGAAAGCCAGGGGAGCGAACGGG